AACGAACGGUAGCGGCGUGGAUUAGGCAUGCAAGUCGCACGAGAUCCUGAUUUCGAUUGGGUGAAAGCGGCGAAAGGGUGAGUAAUGCAUAGACAACCAACCCUCGAUUUGGGGAUAACUGAAGGAAACUUCAGCUAAUACCGAAUGGUCUCGCAACGGUUCCUGCUGUUGUGAGUAAAGGUGGCCUCUUAACAAUGCUACUGAUUGGGGACGGGUUUAUGUCCUAUCAGCUUGUUGGUGAGGUAACGGCUCACCAAGGCGAUGACGGGUAGCCGACCUGAGAGGGUGACCGGCCACACUGGGACUGAGACACUGCCCAGACUCCUACGGGAGGCUGCAGUCGAGAAUCUUCCGCAAUGGGGGCAACCCUGACGGAGCGACGCCGCGUGCGGGAUGAAGGCCUUCGGGUUGUAAACCGCUGUCACAGGUUAGGAAAGGGUAGUGGGGUAAUAUUCCACUGCUUUGACAAAUGCCUGGAAGGAAGCCACGGCUAACUUCGUGCCAGCAGCCGCGGUAAGACGAAGGUGGCGACCGUUGUUCGGAAUCACUGGGCAUAAAGAGCACGUAGGCGGAUAAGUAAGUCGGGUGUGAAAUCCCUCGGCCCAACCGAGGAACUGCGCCCGAUAC
rnacentral:rRNA from 1 species